UUAAGCAUAUCAAUAAGCGGAGGAAAAGAAACCAACAGGGAUUGCCUCAGUAACGGCGAGUGAAGCGGCAAGAGCUCAAAUUUGAAAUCUGGUCCUUUCAGGGCCCGAGUUGUAAUUUGCAGAGGAUGCUUUGGGUGCGGCCGCGGCGUAAGUGCCCUGGAACGGGCUGUCGCAGAGGGUGAGAAUCCCGUCUUGAGUCGCCGGUUCGCGCCCGUGUAAAGCUCCUUCGACGAGUCGAGUUGUUUGGGAAUGCAGCUCUAAAUGGGUGGUAAAUUUCAUCUAAAGCUAAAUAUUGGCUGGAGACCGAUAGCGCACAAGUAGAGUGAUCGAAAGGUUAAAAGCACCUUGAAAAGGGAGUUAAAUAGCACGUGAAAUUGUUGAAAGGGAAGCGCUUGCAACCAGACUCGGCCGCAGAGGCUCAACGGGCACGUGUGCCUGUGCACUCCUCUGUGGUCGGGCCAGCAUCAGUUCUGGCGACCGGUCAAAGGCCCCUGGAAUGUGUCGUCCUCCGGGACGUCUUAUAGCCAGGGGUGCAAUGCGGCCAGCCGGGACUGAGGAACGCGCUUCGGCACGGAUGCUGGCAUAAUGGUUGUAAGCGGCCCGUCUUGAAACACGGACCAAGGAGUCUAACAUCCACGCGAGUGUUCGGGUGUCAAACCCGUGCGCGCAGUGAAAGCGAACGGAGGUGGGAUCCCCGCAAGGGGCGCACCAUCGACCGAUCCUGAAGUCUUCGGAUGGAUUUGAGUAAGAGCGUGGCUGUUGGGACCCGAAAGAUGGUGAACUAUGCCUGAAUAGGGCGAAAGCCAGAGGAAACUCUGGUGGAGGCUCGCAGCGGUUCUGACGUGCAAAUCGAUCGUCAAAUUUGGGGUAUAGGGGCGAAAGACUAAUCGAACCAUCUAGUAGCUGGUUCCUGCCGAA
rnacentral:rRNA from 2 species